GUGGCUCAGUGGUUAAAGUGAUUGACUGCUAAUCAAAGGUCGGUGGUUCGAAGCCAUCC
rnacentral:tRNA from 1 species